AGAUGUCAAAUGCUCGGAACCUGUUGUUUUAAAAGACCACUAGGUGGUGUAUUAGUACCAAAAGUUAGCCGGGCCCAGCGAAAUACCGGGCGCCAGGGAUAGGCCUCCAAAUGGUGGUCCUUUACUCCCGCGUCGACGCGACUAUUAUCACCUCACCCUAGCCGGCCGCACGACAGGUCGGUACUUGGUCUGCUUAUGUUGGUCGGAAACCGCUGCGCGCAGGCUGCGCAUUUGCGCAGUCCCACAAGGCUGGCCCAUGAAAUGGAACUCUGUACACCUGGAAGUCCAUCGAAUUUUUGAGCAGGACCAAGUAGGGGUUAAUGCAAAAAAAAACAGUACAUUGACUGAAGUAACACUUAACGGGUUUCAGAGGCCCAAUGGAAAACUUUUGUGAAAAUAUUAUUAAAUAUCAUUUUUUAACAUCAGCAAGUGGAACAACUAAUAUUAAUGGCAAAUUGGGUUAAAAUCAACGAAUAAAUUUAUUAAUAUUAAUUAAUAGUUAUUUUAAUAUUAAUAUUAUAUUUAAAAAUUUUAUUAGCAUUUAUAUUAAUAAAAGUUGUAAACUGGGUCGUUAUAAAGGUGUUUGCCAAAUUUUAUAACUUUGCGUUGAAAAAUACUAAAAAUACAGGCCAUCAAAAAUUACUAUAAUAAAUUUAUUUGUUGAUUUUAAUCCAAUUUGCUAUUAAUAUUAGUUGUUCCACUUGCUGAUGUUAAAAAAUUAUAUUUAAUAAUAUUUUCACAAAAGUUUUCCAUUGGACCUCUGAAACCCGUUAAGUGUUACUUCAGUCAAUGUACUGUUUUUUUUUGCAUUAACCCCUACUUGGUCCUGCUCAAAAAUUCGAUGGACUUCCAGGUGUACAGAGUUCCAUGG